rnacentral:lncRNA from 1 species
CCGCCAUCAGUGUAUUUUAAGCAGGGGAGCAUUAUGACCCAAUUUAGCAUAAAAACUAUUUCACUUAACUCCAUUGUGACGUGGAACAUAGAUUUGGUGCUAAACUGUGAAAUUUUGGGUUUUUUUCCUAAUGACACCAUAUUAGCCUAAAUUCCUUGGAAAACAGAAUCUUAGCCCAGCAUGAAAGUGCUAAUGCUUUAUUUGGAACGUGGAAACAGGGCAGCAAGGUGAAAAACGGGAGUGAAGCGAUGGAGGAGGAGAAGUAAUGGAACUAGUGAGUGGUAUGAGCUGAACUGUGUCCCCCAAAAUUCAUAUGUUCGAGUCCUAAACUGCCCCCCCACCUCAGUACCUCGGAUUGUGACUGUAUAUGGAGAUUGGCUGUUUAAAGAGGUAAUUAAGUUAAAAUGAGGUCAUUAGGGUGGGGCCCUAAUCCAGUCUGAAUGACGUCCCUACAAGAAGAGACACCAGGGAUGCACACGCACAGAGGAAAGGCACUGUGAAGACAAAGUGAGAAGGCGCUGUCUGCAAGCCGAAGAGAUGCCUUGGGAGAAACCCAACCUGUGACACCUUGGUCUUGGACUUCCAGCCUACAGACCUGUGAGAAAGCAAGUUUCUCUUGUUUAAGGCCUCCAGUCUAUAGUAUUUUAUCAUGGCAGCCCCAGCAGACUAAGACGAUGAGUUCCCUCAGCAACUCGGUGUUCUUCACUGGGAGUUUACCCUGAACUGGUUUGCCUCCUGCUGCUGCAUUGGCAGCCACAUGAGAUAGCGGUAUUUCAUCCAGGUCUGAAAAUGACAGGAGGAGCCAGAAACCCCACACUUCCAAUCGGUUGACCUGACUUCAGGGAUGGGUCCAGGACUCCCAAGGCAAGUGACUAGUCAGAUCCAGGUCGAGCGAGUGACUGAGGUUCCAGGAGAAGGACACUGAGGUCAUCUGAGCAGUUAGAACACAGCAUCCCUUUGUUUAGAUGGCUGGUGCCUUCUGGGAAAGAAAUUGACCAUUAUUCAUCUUUGUACCGUCUUCUCCAUCACCUAGCAAAUGCUUCGAACAUGGUGGGCUUCUGAAAGGUGCUUGUUGAACGAACCCACAUUAGGUAGAGGAGAAGUCUUCCUCCCCGACACCGGCUUCUCAGCUCCUGAGGAUUAGCAGCCAUCUUGGCAAGAAUUGGUACUGUGUGAGUGAGGAGGAGAGCCGGCUGUGAAGCCCAGGGUGGCUGCCCCACCCCAUCAGUGCCCGGGACCCCUGGGGUGAAGCCAGCUAAGGAUGGAGACUGGGAGCCUGUCAGGAGCAGGAGGAUUUUUCAGAAACUGGCCUGGG